GACGAACGCUGGCGGCGUGCUUAACACAUGCAAGUCGAACGGAAAGGCCCUGCUUGCAGGGUACUCGAGUGGCGAACGGGUGAGUAACACGUGGGUGAUCUGCCCUGCACUUCGGGAUAAGCCUGGGAAACUGGGUCUAAUACCGGAUAGGAGCCAUUUUUAGUGUGAUGGUUGGAAAGUUUUUUCGGUGUAGGAUGAGCUCGCGGCCUAUCAGCUUGUUGGUGGGGUAAUGGCCUACCAAGGCGGCGACGGGUAGCCGGCCUGAGAGGGUGGACGGCCACAUUGGGACUGAGAUACGGCCCAGACUCCUACGGGAGGCAGCAGUGGGGAAUAUUGCACAAUGGGCGCAAGCCUGAUGCAGCGACGCCGCGUGGGGGAUGACGGCCUUCGGGUUGUAAACUCCUUUCGCUAGGGACGAAGCUUUUGUGACGGUACCUAGAUAAGAAGCACCGGCUAACUACGUGCCAGCCGCCGCCGUAACAC
rnacentral:rRNA from 1 species